rnacentral:rRNA from 1 species
UAAGCAUAUCAAUAAGCGGAGGAAAAGAAACCAACAGGGAUUGCCCUAGUAACGGCGAGUGAAGCGGCAACAGCUCAAAUUUGAAAUCUGGCGUCUUUGGCGUCCGAGUUGUAAUUUGCAGAGGGCGCUUUGGCAUUGGCAGCGGUCCAAGUUCCUUGGAACAGGACGUCACAGAGGGUGAGAAUCCCGUACGUGGUCGCUAGCCUUUACCGUGUAAAGCCCCUUCGACGAGUCGAGUUGUUUGGGAAUGCAGCUCUAAAUGGGAGGUAAAUUUCUUCUAAAGCUAAAUACUGGCCAGAGACCGAUAGCGCACAAGUAGAGUGAUCGAAAGAUGAAAAGCACUUUGGAAAGAGAGUUAAAAAGCACGUGAAAUUGUUGAAAGGGAAGCGCUUGCAGCCAGACUUGCCUGUAGUUGCUCAUCCGGGUUUCUACCCGGUGCACUCUUCUAUAGGCAGGCCAGCAUCAGUUUGGGCGGUUGGAUAAAGGUCUCUGUCAUGUACCUCCUCUCGGGGAGAACUUAUAGGGGAGACGACAUGCAACCAGCCUGGACUGAGGUCCGCGCAUCUGCUAGGAUGCUGGCGUAAUGGCUGUAAGCGGCCCGUCUUGAAACACGGACCAAGGAGUCUAACAUCUAUGCGAGUGUUUGGGUGUCAAGCCCGAACGCGUAAUGAAAGUGAACGGAGGUGGGAACCUUUCGGGGUGCACCAUCGACCGAUCCUGAUGUCUUCGGAUGGAUUUGAGUAAGAGCAUAGCUGUUGGGACCCGAAAGAUGGUGAACUAUGCUUGAAUAGGGUGAAGCCAGAGGAAACUCUGGUGGAGGCUCGCAGCGGUUCUGACGUGCAAAUCGAUCGUCAAAUUUGGGCAUAGGGGCGAAAGACUAAUCGAACUAUCUAGUAGCUGGUUCCUGC